rnacentral:tRNA from 1 species
GUUUUCAUAGCUCAGUUUGUUAGAGUACCCGUUUAGUAAGCGGGAGGUCAUGACUUCAACUCUGAUUGAAAGCA